rfam:Fomitiporia mediterranea MF3/22 unplaced genomic scaffold FOMMEscaffold_1, whole genome shotgun sequence.
UCCACUAUGACCGAGUGGUUAAGGUGUCAGAUUUGAAUUAUUAUGUCAUUUAUCUGAUGCACUUUGUGCGCGUAGGUUCAAAUCCUGCUGGUGGAG